GGGAGCGUUCUGUAAGCCGUUGAAGGUGUGCUGUGAGGCAUGCUGGAGGUAUCAGAAGUGCGAAUGCUGACAUAAGUAACGAUAAAGCGGGUGAAAAGCCCGCUCGCCGGAAGACCAAGGGUUCCUGUCCAACGUUAAUCGGGGCAGGGUGAGUCGACCCCUAAGGCGAGGCCGAAAGGCGUAGUCGAUGGGAAACAGGUUAAUAUUCCUGUACUUGGUGUUACUGCGAAGGGGGGACGGAGAAGGCUAUGUCAGCCGGGCGACGGUUGUCCCGGUUUAAGCAUGUAGGCGGAGGUUCCAGGUAAAUCCGGUACCUUUUAACGCUGAGGUGUGAUGACGAGGCACUACGGUGCUGAAGUGAUAAAUGCCCUGCUUCCAGGAAAAGCCUCUAAGCAUCAGGUAACACGAAAUCGUACCCCAAACCGACACAGGUGGUCAGGUAGAGAAUACCAAGGCGCUUGAGAGAACUCGGGUGAAGGAACUAGGCAAAAUGGUGCCGUAAC
rnacentral:rRNA from 1 species